UGGCACGUACAUCAACCAACUAAAAUAUUACAAUUAAGUGUAUAAAUGAACUGAGUUCAGCUGAGUAUUGAUCAGUUGUUUAGAUUUGGUUCACAAAAUUUAUCGAGUAUAAAAUAAAGUUUGAUUCUUGUUUGAGUUGAGCACGAUCUCGAAUCGAGUCUGAGCAGUUUGAACUUUUCAAACGAAUAUCCUAUUAUCAAUAAAAAAAAUUAAAAUUUGAGAAAGUUCGAAUAAUUUAUUGAACUUUAAAAUUUGCUCAUAUUUAAAUCAUUUAUUUUUCAAGUCGUGAUCGAAUCAAACUUUUAAUCGAGCGAAUACAAAUAGAGUCGAAGUAUUUGUUCAUUUUACAACCUUAAUUAUAAUUGUGAAAAAUUAAUGAUACCAGAUGCUCCUCUUGUGAAAUAUGUAGUUUUAUUUCAUCUGGCUAAGCCAAGCAAGCGAAGUUACAUGGACAUACCAAUUUUCAUGUCUGCACGCUUAAUAUUGAAAAUAAGUCAAAGCAUAUAAAUAGUUAUAUAUAUCUUCCUCUCAAAGAGCCAUCCAUAUAUGUCGAUCCCCUCGAUCAUUGGAUCUUACUGCUUUGCUGCUGCAGAUUUCCCACCCUUAGCCGCCGGCUAAUAAAUUAAAAUCCAUAAAAAGUUGUUAAACGAAUAGCAGGGAGUAGUUAACAUGAAGUGAAUUUACCAUGAAAUAAACUCCAUGCUAACCAGAUUCAGACAUUGAGCAAUUAAAGAAAAUUAUACUUUUUAAUGGAUUUCCCUAUAAUUUACACUUCACUUCUUAUAUUGUAAAUACUUGCUUUAGUCUCCAUUAAUUAGGGAUUUGGUAUGAAAAUACAAAGAAUAAGAAUUUCUUAACAUUCGUUUGUUGUUAUACAUAUAUAUAUAUAUAUAUAUAGGGAUUUAAUCCGUGGCAAACGGUUGUCAUAGGCACUGUUCAGCAACCAAGGUUACAUCCGUUGAUCCAUACAUUUAAUGGCUGAGAUUGGUUGAUUUCCCCCCUGCCGCUACAGCUUGUAGCGGCAGUCCAGUCCCCUUUAUUCCCGUUAACUUAUUACAUUACUGCCCCUAACAAUUUAAUACUUGUCUGCCGCAAGAGGCUCAUGCGGUAGGACCUGACAAAAUUAACAACUUACAAAAAUGACUUGCUUUUAUGGCAGACAAAGUUGACCGGCUUUUCUAGUGAUGCUAAUUCCUUGCAAGUAUGUAUUCAGAAAAAAUAUUUUCAAAUAAAAAUGAUACUUUUUAAAAGUUACUUUUAUUUAUUUUGAAAUUUAAAAUGAAUUUAUUCAAAUUUUGUCAAUAAAAUUAAGAUUUAUUGUUUUCAAAAUUUAUAUUAGUC
rnacentral:lncRNA from 1 species